GGAGGUUCUUGGGUGAUGCACCCCAGAAUCAGCCUCCCUCCUCUCUGGUUCUGGGUGCGUCACCCAAGAAUCACA
rfam:Myotis davidii contig108402, whole genome shotgun sequence.